rnacentral:rRNA from 1 species
GACGAACCGUGCGAACGUUGUUCGGAAUCACUGGGCUUAAAGGGCGCGUAGGCGGUCUCCCAAGUCCGGGGUGAAAUCUUUCGGCCUAACCGGAAAAGGGCCUUGGAUACUGGGGGACUCGAGGGGGGUAGGGGCAAGCGGAACUUCCGGUGGAGCGGUGAAAUGCGUUGAUAUCGGAAGGAACGCCGGCGGCGAAAGCGGCUUGCUGGACCCCAUCUGACGCUGAGACGCGAAAGCCAGGGGAGCGAACGGG